AGUGAACGCUGGCGGUAGGCCUAACACAUGCAAGUCGAACGGCAGCACAGUAAGAGCUUGCUCUUACGGGUGGCGAGUGGCGGACGGGUGAGGAAUACAUCGGAAUCUACUUUUUCGUGGGGGAUAACGUAGGGAAACUUACGCUAAUACCGCAUACGACCUACGGGUGAAAGCAGGGGAUCUUCGGACCUUGCGCGAUUGAAUGAGCCGAUGUCGGAUUAGCUAGUUGGCGGGGUAAAGGCCCACCAAGGCGACGAUCCGUAGCUGGUCUGAGAGGAUGAUCAGCCACACUGGAACUGAGACACGGUCCAGACUCCUACGGGAGGCAGCAGUGGGGAAUAUUGGACAAUGGGCGCAAGCCUGAUCCAGCUAUACCGCGUGGGUGAAGAAGGCCUUCGGGUUGUAAAGCCCUUUUGUUGGGAAAGAAAAGCAGCAGGUUAAUACCCCGCUGUUCUGGCGGUACCCAAAGAAUAAGCACCGGCUAACUUCGUG
rnacentral:rRNA from 1 species